AGCAACGCCGCGUGAGCGAUGAAGGCCUUCGGGUCGUAAAGCUCUGUUGUUAGGGAAGAACAAGUACCGUUCGAAUAGGGCGGUACCUUGACGGUACCUAACCAGAAAGCCACGGCUAACUACGUGCCAGCAGCCGCGGUAAUACGUAGGUGGCAAGCGUUGUCCGGAAUUAUUGGGCGUAAAGCGCGCGCAGGCGGUUCCUUAAGUCUGAUGUGAAAGCCCACGGCUCAACCGUGGAGGGUCAUUGGAAACUGGGGAACUUGAGUGCAGAAGAGGAAAGCGGAAUUCCACGUGUAGCGGUGAAAUGCGUAGAGAUGUGGAGGAACACCAGUGGCGAAGGCGGCUUUCUGGUCUGUAACUGACGCUGAGGCGCGAAAGCGUGGGGAGCAAACAGGAUUAGAUACCCUGGUAGUCCACGCCGUAAACGAUGAGUGCUAAGUGUUAGGGGGUUUCCGCCCCUUAGUGCUGCAGCUAACGCAUUAAGCACUCCGCCUGGGGAGUACGGCCGCAAGGCUG
rnacentral:rRNA from 1 species